CCGGCGACCGGCGCACGGGUGAGUAACACGUAUCCAACCUGCCGAUAACUCGGGGAUAGCCUUUCGAAAGAAAGAUUAAUAUCCGAUAGCAUAUCAAGAUCGCAUGAUCUUGAUAUUAAAGAAUUUCGGUUAUCGAUGGGGAUGCGUUCCAUUAGUUAGUUGGCGGGGUAACGGCCCACCAAGACGACGAUGGAUAGGGGUUCUGAGAGGAAGGUCCCCCACAUUGGAACUGAGACACGGUCCAAACUCCUACGGAAGGCAGCAG
rnacentral:rRNA from 1 species